rnacentral:rRNA from 1 species
UACGUAGGGGGCUAGCGUUGUCCGGAUUUAUUGGGCGUAAAGAGCGUGUAGGCGGCCAGGUAGGUCUGGUGUGAAAACUCGAGGCUUAACCUCGAGAUGUCAUCGGAAACCAUUUGACUAGAGUCCGGAAGAGGAGAGUGGAAUUCCUGGUGUAGCGGUGAAAUGCGUAGAUAUCCGGAGGAACACCGGUGGCGAAGGCGACAUCCUGGACCGGUAUUGACGCUGAGGCGCGAAAGCCAGGGGAGCAAACGGG